UACGUAGGGUGCGAGCGUUGUCCGGAAUUAUUGGGCGUAAAGAGCGUGUAGGCGGUUUGUCGCGUCUGCUGUGAAAAUCCGGGGCUCAACCCCGGACUUGCAGUGGGUACGGGCAGACUAGAGUGUGGUAGGGGAGACUGGAAUUCCUGGUGUAGCGGUGGAAUGCGCAGAUAUCAGGAGGAACACCGAUGGCGAAGGCAGGUCUCUGGGCCACUACUGACGCUGAGAAGCGAAAGCAUGGGGAGCGAACAGG
rnacentral:rRNA from 1 species